rnacentral:rRNA from 2 species
UGGGGAAUUUUCCGCAAUGGGCGAAAGCCUGACGGAGCAACGCCGCGUGGGUGAAGAAGGCCUUCGGGUUGUAAAGCCCUGUCUUAUGGGAAGAAGAAAGUGACGGUACCAUAGGAGGAAGCCACGGCUAACUACGUGCCAGCAGCCGCGGUAAUACGUAGGUGGCAAGCGUUGUCCGGAAUCACUGGGCGUAAAGGGCGCGCAGGCGGUUUUUUAAGUCAGAUGUGAAAACUUUCGGCUUAACCGGGAGACGGCAUUUGAUACUGGAAGACUUGAGUGCAGGAGAGGGCAGUGGAAUUCCUAGUGUAGCGGUGAAAUGCGUAGAUAUUAGGAGGAACACCAGUGGCGAAGGCGGCUGCCUGGACUGUAACUGACGCUGAGGCGCGAAAGCGUGGGGAGCGAACAGG